rnacentral:rRNA from 1 species
CCACCACUAAGCCAGUGGUGAACUCCACAUACGCAUCCUUUGCUGAAGGCAAUGGUUAACGGAGCGAAAGCGACGUUCAACCGCAAAACAAGCAGAGGGGGCUUAGUGGUGGGGUGACUGCGUACCUUUUGUAUAAUGGGUCAGCGACUUAUAUUCUGUAGCAAGGUUAACCGAAUAGGGGAGCCGGAGGGAAACCGAGUCUUAACCGGGCGUUAAGUUGCAGGGUAUAGACCCGAAACCCGGUGAUCUAGCCAUGGGCAGGUUGAAGGUUGGGUAACACUAACUGGAGGACCGAACCGACUAAUGUUGAAAAAUUAGCGGAUGACCUGUGGCUGGGGGUGAAAGGCCAAUCAAACCGGGAGAUAGCUGGUUCUCCCCGAAAGCUAUUUAGGUAGCGCCUCGUGAAUUCAUCUCCGGGGGUAGAGCACUGUUUCGGCUAGGGGGCCAUCCCGGCUUACCAACCCGAUGCAAACUGCGAAUACCGGAGAAUGUUAUCACGGGAGACACACGGCGGGUGCUAACGUCCGUCGUGAAGAGGGAAACAACCCAGACCGCCAGCUAAGGUCCCAAAGUCAUGGUUAAGUGGGAAACGAUGUGGGAAGGCCCAGACAGCCAGGAUGUUGGCUUAGAAGCAGCCAUCAUUUAAAGAAAGCGUAAUAGCUCACUGGUCGAGUCGGCCUGCGCGGAAGAUGUAACGGGGCUAAACCAUGCACCGAAGCUGCGGCAGCGACACUCAGGUGUUGUUGGGUAGGGGAGCGUUCUGUAAGCCUGUGAAGGUGUGUCGUGAGGCAUGCUGGAGGUAUCAGAAGUGCGAAUGCUGACAUAAGUAACGAUAAAGCGGGUGAAAAGCCCGCUCGCCGGAAGACCAAGGGUUCCUGUCCAACGUUAAUCGGGGCAGGGUGAGUCGACCCCUAAGGCGAGGCCGAAAGGCGUAGUCGAUGGGAAACGGGUUAAUAUUCCCGUACUUGGUGUUACUGCGAAGGGGGGACGGAGAAGGCUAUGUUGGCCGGGCGACGGUUGUCCCGGUUUAAGCGUGUAGGUGUGUGUUCCAGGUAAAUCCGGUUCACUUUAACACUGAGGCGUGACGACGAGGCACUACGGUGCUGAAGCAACAAAUGCCCUGCUUCCAGGAAAAGCCUCUAAGCAUCAGGUAACAUCAAAUCGUACCCCAAACCGACACAGGUGGUCAGGUAGAGAAUACCAAGGCGCUUGAGAGAACUCGGGUGAAGGAACUAGGCAAAAUGGUGCCGUAACUUCGGGAGAAGGCACGCUGACACGUAGGUGAAGUGAUUUACUCAUGGAGCUGAAGUCAGUCGAAGAUACCAGCUGGCUGCAACUGUUUAUUAAAAACACAGCACUGUGCAAACACGAAAGUGGACGUAUACGGUGUGACGCCUGCCCGGUGCCGGAAGGUUAAUUGAUGGGGUCAGCGCAAGCGAAGCUCCUGAUCGAAGCCCCGGUAAACGGCGGCCGUAACUAUAACGGUCCUAAGGUAGCGAAAUUCCUUGUCGGGUAAGUUCCGACCUGCACGAAUGGCGUAAUGAUGGCCAGGCUGUCUCCACCCGAGACUCAGUGAAAUUGAACUCGCUGUGAAGAUGCAGUGUACCCGCGGCAAGACGGAAAGACCCCGUGAACCUUUACUAUAGCUUGACACUGAACAUUGAGCCUUGAUGUGUAG